rnacentral:rRNA from 1 species
GAUGAACGCUAGCGGCAGGCCUAACACAUGCAAGUCGAGGGGCAUCACAGAAAUAGCUUGCUAUUUGGGUGGCGACCGGCGCACGGGUGCGUAACGCGUAUGCAACCUACCUUAUACUGGGGUAUAGCCCGGAGAAAUUCGGAUUAAUCCCCCAUGGUAUUAUAGAUUGGCAUCGAUUUAUAAUUAAAGUCACAACGGUAUAAGAUGGGCAUGCGUCCUAUUAGCUAGAUGGUGGGGUAACGGCUCACCAUGGCAACGAUAGGUAGGGGUCCUGAGAGGGAGAUCCCCCANACUGGUACUGAGACACGGACCAGACUCCUACGGGAGGCAGCAGUGAGGAAUAUUGGACAAUGGGCGCAAGCCUGAUCCAGCCAUGCCGCGUGCAGGAAGAAGCAUCUAUGGUGUGUAAACUGCUUUUGUACGGGAAGAAACACUCCUUCGUGAAGGAGCUUGACGGUACCGUAAGAAUAAGGAUCGGCUAACUCCGUG